rnacentral:rRNA from 1 species
UACGAAGGGUGCAAGCGUUCAUCGGAAUUACUGGGCGUAAAGGGUGCGUAGGCGGUUGUUUAAGUCUGUCGUGAAAUCCCCGGGCUCAACCUGGGAAUGGCGAUGGAAACUGGGCAGCUAGAGUGUGUCAGAGGAUGGUGGAAUUCCCGGUGUAGCGGUGAAAUGCGUAGAGAUCGGGAGGAACAUCAGUGGCGAAGGCGGCCAUCUGGGACAACACUGACGCUGAAGCACGAAAGCGUGGGGAGCAAACAGG